GGUAGGGUGGCCGAGAGAGGCGGUGAGCUGUAGACUCACUUACGGAGGUGCAAACCCGCCCACUAGCCC
rnacentral:tRNA from 1 species